rnacentral:tRNA from 1 species
AAAAUUUUAGUUUAAUUAAAAAUAUAAUAUUUACAUUAUUAAGAUAUAAAAUAAAUAUAAAUUUUU